rnacentral:rRNA from 1 species
GGGGGGGGGGGGGGGGGUGCUUGGGGGGGGGGGGUGGGGCGGGGAGGCGGGGCGUUUGUGGGGUGGUGGAGUGGCGAACGGGUGAGGAACACGUGGGUAACCUGCCCGUGACUUUGGGAUAACUGCGGGAAACUGGGGCUGAUACCGGGUAGGAGCUCUUGCUGCCUGUUGGGGGUUGGAAAGUUUCGGCGGUUGGGGAUGGACUCGCGGCUUAUCAGCUUGUUGGUGGGGUAGUGGCUUCACCAGGCUUUGACGGGUAGCCGGCCUGAGAGGGUUACCGGCCACAUUGGGACUGAGAUACGGCCCAGACUCCUACGGGAGGCAGCAGUGGGGAAUAUUGCACAAUGGGCGGAAGCCUGAUGCAGCAACGCCGCGUGCGGGAUGACGGCCUUCGGGUUGUAAACCGCUUUCGCCUGUGACGAAGCGUGAGUGACGGUAAUGGGUAAAGAAGCACCGGAUAACUACGUG